AUGCCGUCCUCCUCCGGUGCCUCCCAGGCUGGUCCCAACGGCCAAGUCACGGAGAGGCUGUCCCGCACCAACUACGUCCUCUGGCGCGCGCAGAUCACGCCGCAGCUGAGGUGCGCGAGUGUCUUCGGCUACGUCGACGGCACUACACCGGAGCCGGCCAGGAUCCUCCACACCAAGGACAAAGAUGGGAAGGAAUCAACUGAGCCGAACCCUCUCUACUCCAUCUGGGUGCAAGAGGACCAGCAGGUGCUCGGGUACUUGCUGAACAACCUCACCAAGGAGGUGCUCAUGCAGGUGACCGCGAUCACCACGACGCGCGAGCUCAUGACGGCGCUGUCGGGGAUAUUCUCCUCGCAUUCGCUUAGUCACGUCAACAACAUCAAAACCUCCCUGGUGAAUGCCCAGAAGGGCAACAAGACCGUCGCCACCUACUUCGCCGAGAUGCGCGGCUUCGCUGAUGAGCUGGUCGCCGCCGGGAAACCUCUCCAGGAUGAUGAACUCAUCUCCUACAUCCUGCACGACGUCGACAUGGACUACCAGCCACUCGUCUCCGCCCUCGACGCCCAUCAGCCCAGUAUCCCUCGAUGA
rnacentral:rRNA from 1 species